rnacentral:lncRNA from 1 species
GUGCUGUAUGAAGUGGCAUACUGUCUAUAUGCACAAACUAAAGCUGACUAUCUGUGUCCACGCAGUGAAGCCGGGUCAAUGUCCCAUACCGGAGACAAUUCCACUGUGUGCUGAAAGCUGUUUCCAUGAUGGCCAGUGUCCUGCCACAUGUUGCCCAACCACCGGUGGCAUUGCAUGCCGUGAACCACGUGGUCAGGGAAGAGGUCAGGCAAGUUGUCAGGAAAGCGGCCAUGGUCCGGGAAGCAGCCAGAGAAGUGGCCAGGGAAGUGGCGAGGGAAGCGGCCAGGGAAGCGGUUAUGGCCAGGGCAGCGGCCAGGGAAGCGGUUAUGGCCAGGGAAGCGGUUAUGGCCAGGGAAGCGGUUAUGGCCAGGGUAGCGGCCAGGGAAAGCGGUUAUGGCCAGGGUAGUGGCCAGGGAAGCGGUUAUGGCCAGGGUAGCGGCCAGGGAAGCGGUUAUGGCCAGGGCCAGGGAAGCGGUUAUGGCCAGGGAAGCGGUUAUGGCCAGGGUAGCGGUUAUGGCCAGGGAAGCGGCUAUGGUCAGGGAAGUGGUUAUGGUCAGGGAAGUGGUUAUGGUCAGGGAAGCAGUCAGGGUCAGGGAAGUGGUUAUGGUCAGGGGAAUGGUCAGGGAUGUGGUCAAGGAAAUGGUCAAGGAUGUGGUCAUUGAAAUCAUCAUGGGACUUCUGCAUGACUCUUACUGGAGAACUUUUCAAUUCAGUGCCUUAUUCAUAUGGCAUGCUUUCCCUGUUUGCUCAAACAGUCUAGAAAGACUUUCUCAACUUUUUGUUAUUAUUAUUAUAUAAGCCUAUAAAUGCCGAGGUCCGGAUCUCACAGAUCUCAUUCUGGGAACGGCAGUGUGUUCAACUCUGUUUUUAUACAGUCUAUGGCAGAGUUCCUCAAAUCUUGCCCUGGUGGGCCAAUGCGCUGCAGAGUUUAGCUCCAACCCUGAUCAAACUCACCUACCUGUGAUUUUCUAAUGAUCCUGAAGACAUUGAUUAGCAUGCUCAGGUGUGUUUGAUUAGGGUUAGAGCUAAACUCUGCAGGAAAGUUUAUCUCGUGGGCCAGAUUUGAGGAUCCGUGGUCU